UACGAAGGGGGCUAGCGUUGCUCGGAUUGACUGGGCGUAAAGGGCGCGUAGGCGGCGGACACAGUCAGACGUGAAAUUCCUGGGCUCAACCUGGGGGCUGCGUUUGAUACAUGUCUGCUUGAGUUCGGAAGAGGGUCGUGGAAUUCCCAGUGUAGAGGUGAAAAUUCGUAGAUAUUGGGAAGAACACCGGUGGCGAAGGCGGCGACCUGGGUCCGA
rnacentral:rRNA from 1 species